rnacentral:rRNA from 1 species
AGUGAACGCUGGCGGUAGGCCUAACACAUGCAAGUCGAACGGCAGCACAGGAGAGCUUGCUCUCUGGGUGGCGAGUGGCGGACGGGUGAGGAAUACAUCGGAAUCUACUCUGUCGUGGGGGAUAACGUAGGGAAACUUACGCUAAUACCGCAUACGACCUACGGGUGAAAGCAGGGGAUCUUCGGACCUUGCGCGAUUGAAUGAGCCGAUGUCGGAUUAGCUAGUUGGCGGGGUAAAGGCCCACCAAGGCGACGAUCCGUAGCUGGUCUGAGAAGAUUAUCAGCCAAACUGGAACUGAGACACGGGCCAGACUCCGACGGGAGGCAGCAGUGGGGAAUAUUGGACAAUUGGCGCAAGCCUGAUCCAGCCAUACCGCGUGGGUGAAGAAGGCCUUCGGGUUGUAAAGCUCUUUUAGUAGGGAAAGAAAUCCAUCUGGUUAAUACCCGUAUGGGAUGACGGUACCCAAAGAAUAAGCACCGGCUAACUUCGUGCCAGCAGCCGCAGUAA